CGGAUGUAGCUCAGCUGGCUAGAGCACCACCUUGCCAAGGUGGGGGUCGCGGGUUCGAAUCCCGUCAUCCG
rnacentral:tRNA from 1 species